UUUGGUGAUGGUGCGAAUACUGCCGCCAGUUGCGAUAGAUCAAGCGAGGGUGUAACACGCGCCCGCUCCCACUCGUCACCUCGCCCGCCAGUACCUCCAGUCCCCCCACAACACAUGCUCACUUCUGCCUUAGUACCUGCAAGUUAUCUCGUCGUAUAAGCUGUCUCUGAGGAAACUUUGUGAUAUAUUUUGAAGACGGCUCUGUGUUAGUGAGUACAAGAAACAUUGAGGAAAACAUUGUGUGAGAUGUUGUGUAGCAUCCUCAGCACGAGUGUGUUGGGGAUGGCUUGAGUAGUGUUGGUGGGCGCUCUACGCCACCAGUGAGUGUCGAUCUAGUUUUAAGUACACGCUUCAUUGGAGGUAAUGGGUGUGAAAUGUGCUGUGAUGUCAUCGUUUGUGGUGAAGGCUGGUAGUGGGGGUGGCAUACGGCCGCACCACGCCGCCCUCCUGCGGCUCCUCGCUCUGGCCCGUCAGGGAGGCCUCUCCACACUACCCCCGCCACAGAGGCAUUUCCUGGCGCGCCUCUUACUCGCCUACAGGUCCCACUCCACCCUCACCCUUCAGCACAUGGCCGCGCUAGAGCAGCGUGUGGCCCUCCUCAAGCGACACUGCCGCCGCCACCACCACCACCGUCGGGAGAGCGCCACCUCCGCCGACCAGCGGGAAACACACAUCUUCAAGAAGCCGCUCCCGCGACCUACCCCAAAGCCACACUCGCGGUCGCCCGUCACUCACGACACUAUUGUCAAGCCAGACCCCGCCGCCGCCGCCGCCACGGCAGACGUCACGCCGCCGCGUCGCGACGACACGCUUCCGUGUGGAGACGACACGAAGCAGUGGAUCCCCGUGUCGUUCAGCAGGUGUCGCGGCCACAAGACCAGAAAUGGGUGGAAGGCGCACGGCAGGGUUGAGGGUGGUGGUAGGGUCACGGAGGAAGACCAGUGGAGGCCAGUCAGGGUGGAGAGGCUCCGCUCCUCGUCAGUCUACCACCACAUAAACUGCUCCUCCUCCUCCUACGCGUCUGCCUCACUUGUUCCUAAAGCCGCUGCUGCCGGCACUGACAGCAGACGCGGCUGCCGGCGGCGCUCAGGGCGGCGUGAGCGACCAUACUGGCGCUGCCCUCCUGCCUCAGCCUCCACCACUCAACUUACUACCCAACUCUCAAGCUCGGAUACUAGUCUAGUUACUAACCCGGCCACCAGUCAACUUACUAGCUCGGCUUCUAGUCCGGCUGCCAGUCAGAUCCCCGACUUGUCUACUAGUCCCACCACCACGCUAGUCACCAGCGCGGGCCCUAGCCCCGCUAACACAACCAGUGUUGUUGCCACUAGGUAUACCUGUCUCACCACUAGUAUAUCCAGUCCUGCCACCAGUAGAUCUACCAGUCCGGUCAUCAGCACACCUACCAGUCCUGCCACCAGCACACCUACCAGUCCUGCCACCAGCAGGCCUACCAGUCCGGUCACCAGUAGGCCUACCAGUCCGGUCACCAGCAGGCCUACCAGUCCGGUGAAGCUCACUACAUCCUCGGGUAGUGCUGCCACCCAGCGCCUGAAACUUAAACCACUGGCUCUUCUAGUAAACCCCGCGAGCACCAAUCCAAUCCGAGCUAACCCAGAACUGAGACCGUUCUUCACAAGCGUCGUGAACAGUUCAAACAGCAGUAGUCCUAGCCUGACCUUCAGACCAAUCCCCAGAGCGGAGAGCCCCACAAGCGGCUCUGGGAAGGGGCAGCUGUGGGUGCCUGCUGUCAGGUACUCGUGGGUGAAUCAACUGACCCGCAUUUUCUUGCAGGAAGGUAGCGAGGAAGAACACACCAAGGAAGCUGAAGCCACUCAAGGAGGGGGAGGAGAUGCUGCCCCAGCCUCCUCCUCCUCUUCAUCAUCUUCAUCUUCCUCCUCCAGUAGUAGCAGACAGACGCUCUCUCAUGGUGAUGGGAGCAGUGCGUGCAGCAGCAGUGUAGACAGCAGCAGCAACAGCAGCAACAAUAGUAACAACAAAGUGUCUUCACUGUCAUCACCUCAUAGUACCUCAACAGUCACAACUCUUGCCAGCACGGGCAUGGGAAACCCCUUUGCCAGAGCGACUCCUCAGGGCACCUGGGGCUCAGAGUCUUCCGAUCAUCGGCCCAUUCUGGCCCCGCCAAAACUAAGUCCACAUACAGAUUCAGGUGGACCCUCAAUAAUUCGAGCGUCGGCCUUAGGUCCAAGCAGAGUAGUUAGCUCCAUUCGUGGCACUUCUAGUCUCUUCACGCCUCCAACCCUAACUGUCACCGGUUCAUCCCCACCGCAGUCAGCCAAGUCAGAAUUUAAACUGAAACCAUCGGUGUUGAGGACUUCUAAUCCAUUUUCAAGUACUCCAACUGAUUCUGGAGAAAAAGUAGACUCGGCCAGUGGAUCAGAGGACAGAGUUUCAGGAACAGCUGCCGAACCCUUUCAAAUCUCUGGCCAACAUGUGUCUUCGUCAACUCCGAUGGCAUCCUCGCACGUAUCUCGAGCGACGUGCUCUGGGAUGAAAGAAAGAAGAGGAGCUCGUCCUCUUUCCGUUGAGCUUCACACAAACAACAGCAAUGACAGUAACACAUCCAGCAACACCACCUCCAGCAGUAGUUCAAGAAAUUUGUUUCUACCUCUCGCACGUAAUGGAGACGAUAAAGAUAGGGUGCGGAAAGUUCAGUCACAUCCUCAUCUGAUGCUGCAGGGACCACUAAUGGAGAGAAACAGACUACCAACCUUUUUUCAGAAGCUGCCAGUGAAAUCUCACGGUCUGCAGAUUCGGCCAGCAGCUCUGCCACUACCAAUGGCAGGCCACUUACUGGGAACCUGUUUACAGAUGCUGCCUCAGAAAUUUCUUUGCCAAAUGAGGAAAGUACCUGGACGACUGGACAAUCCCUGGAGGAGUCAUCACGGGAACUGACAGAGAAGGAGAAAAGCCAAAAACGUAAAUUUGAUCACGUAGAAGUUAUCACAGGCGAAGAGAGCGAAUCAAACGUAUUACAGAUGAAUUGUAAGCUGUACGCCUGGGUGAAUGGGUCGUGGCAGGAGAGGGGGCGGGGCAUCCUCCGCCUUAAUGACUGGGAUGAAGAAAAGGAGAUUCACUCCCGUCUUGUUAUCCGUACACAAGGAACACUAACUGU
rnacentral:misc_RNA from 1 species